ACCAGUGGAGAAAAGGCAAGAUGUUGGCAUAGCUGUGAUUUAAAUAUUAACCCAGCUGUGUCUUCAUACUGCCAUUUAUUCAC
rnacentral:pre_miRNA from 15 species